GACGAACGCUGGCGGCGUGCCUAAUACAUGCAAGUCGAACGCUUCUUUUUCCACCGGAGCUUGCUCCACCGGAAAAAGAGGAGUGGCGAACGGGUGAGUAACACGUGGGUAACCUGCCCAUCAGAAGGGGAUAACACUUGGAAACAGGUGCUAAUACCGUAUAACAAUCGAAACCGCAUGGUUUUGAUUUGAAAGGCGCUUUCGGGUGUCGCUGAUGGAUGGACCCGCGGUGCAUUAGCUAGUUGGUGAGGUAACGGCUCACCAAGGCCACGAUGCAUAGCCGACCUGAGAGGGUGAUCGGCCACAUUGGGACUGAGACACGGCCCAAACUCCUACGGGAGGCAGCAGUAGGGAAUCUUCGGCAAUGGACGAAAGUCUGACCGAGCAACGCCGCGUGAGUGAAGAAGGUUUUCGGAUCGUAAAACUCUGUUGUUAGAGAAGAACAAGGAUGAGAGUAACUGUUCAUCCCUUGACGGUAUCUAACCAGAAAGCCACGGCUAACUACGUGCCAGCAGCUGCGGUAAUACGUAGGUGGCAAGCGUUGUCCGGAUUUAUUGGGCGUAAAGCGAGCGCAGGCGGUUUCUUAAGUCUGAUGUGAAAGCCCCCGGCUCAACCGGGGAGGGUCAUUGGAAACUGGGAGACUUGAGUGCAGAAGAGGAGAGUGGAAUUCCAUGUGUAGCGGUGAAAUGCGUAGAUAUAUGGAGGAACACCAGUGGCGAAGGCGGCUCUCUGGUCUGUAACUGACGCUGAGGCUCGAAAGCGUGGGGAGCAAACAGGAUUAGAUACCCUGGUAGUCCACGCCGUAAACGAUGAGUGCUAAGUGUUGGAGGGUUUCCGCCCUUCAGUGCUGCAGCUAACGCAUUAAGCACUCCGCCUGGGGAGUACGACCGCAAGGUUGAAACUCAAAGGAAUUGACGGGGGCCCGCACAAGCGGUGGAGCAUGUGGUUUAAUUCGAAGCAACGCGAAGAACCUUACCAGGUCUUGACAUCCUUUGACCACUCUAGAGAUAGAGCUUCCCCUUCGGGGGCAAAGUGACAGGUGGUGCAUGGUUGUCGUCAGCUCGUGUCGUGAGAUGUUGGGUUAAGUCCCGCAACGAGCGCAACCCUUAUUGUUAGUUGCCAUCAUUCAGUUGGGCACUCUAGCAAGACUGCCGGUGACAAACCGGAGGAAGGUGGGGAUGACGUCAAAUCAUCAUGCCCCUUAUGACCUGGGCUACACACGUGCUACAAUGGGAAGUACAACGAGUCGCGAAGUCGCGAGGCUAAGCUAAUCUCUUAAAGCUUCUCUCAGUUCGGAUUGCAGGCUGCAACUCGCCUGCAUGAAGCCGGAAUCGCUAGUAAUCGCGGAUCAGCACGCCGCGGUGAAUACGUUCCCGGGCCUUGUACACACCGCCCGUCACACCACGAGAGUUUGUAACACCCGAAGUCGGUGAGGUAACCUUUUGGAGCCAGCCGCCUAAGGUGGGAUAGAUGAUUGGGGUG
rnacentral:rRNA from 1 species